rnacentral:rRNA from 1 species
GGNGCGGUUCUGCCAGAAGUAGUUAGCCUAACCGCAAGGAGGGCAAUUACCACGGCAGGGUUCGUGACUGGGGUG